AGGGUGGCAGCUCAGUGGUAGAGCCUCUGCUCUGCAUGUAGAAGGUCUCAGGUUCAGUCCUUGGCACCACUA